GAGAUGUGGGUAGUCCGACACGAGCGCACCUCAUCUUUAUUUGCCAUCAGUUCGGCUGGGCACUCUAAAGAAACUGCCUGGGAUGACCAGGAGGAAGGCGGGGAUGACGUCAAGUCCUCAUGGCCCUUAUGGGCUGGGCUAGACACGUGCUACAAUGGCGGUAACAGAGGGAUGCAAUACGGCAACGUGGAGCAAAUCCCCAAAAACCGUCUCAGUUCGGAUUGUUCUCUGCAACUCGAGAGCAUGAAGUUGGAAUCGCUAGUAAUCGUGAAUCAGAAUGUCACGGUGAAUACGUUCCCGGGCCUUGUACACACCGCCCGUCACACCAUGGGAGUAGGUUGCAAAAGAAGUAGCUAGGCUAACCUUCGGGAGGCCGGUUACCACUUUGUGAUUUAUGACUGGGGUGAAGUCGUAACAAGGUAGCCCUAGGGGAACCUGGGGCUGGAUCACCUCCUU
rnacentral:rRNA from 1 species